rnacentral:rRNA from 1 species
UCGGGAAUUUUGGGCAAUGGGCGAAAGCCUGACCCAGCAACGCCGCGUGAGGGAUGAAGUAUUUCGGUAUGUAAACCUCGAAAGAAUGGGAAGAAUAAAUGACGGUACCAUUUAUAAGCUCCGGCUAACUACGUGCCAGCAGCCGCGGUAAUACGUAGGGAGCAAGCGUUGUUCGGAUUUACUGGGCGUAAAGGGCGCGUAGGCGGCGCGGUAAGUCACUUGUGAAAUCUCCGAGCUUAACUCAGAACGGCCAAGUGAUACUGCUGUGCUAGAGUGCGGAAGAGNCAACCGGAAUUCUUGGUGUAGCGGUGAAAUGCGUAGAUAUCAAGAGGAACACCUGAGGCGAAGGCGGGUUGCUGGGCCGACACUGACGCUGAUGCGCGAAAGCCAGGGGAGCAAACG